UGAGGAUUGGCGGCGGAGUGUCCCAUGGAAACGGAACCCAGAAUUGCAGCCAGGGGCUUGCACGGGGGCGGGGCAGGGUCUUUCCAAGGCGCCUGCGCUAAACCAGCUUCUCGGCGCCAUUUUGUCUCGGCAGCGGUCGGCGUAGCUCCAUCGCCUUUUAUGUUUCUGGCAAGAAGGGAACGGAGUUUUCAUCCGGUAGAUUGGUUUUUGUGCGUCCGUCCUUCACCGUUUCCUCCAGGACAGCACCUAGUCUUGGCCGGAGGAGUCUCAGAGCUGUCAGAAAGAAUAAGGCUGAUUUUACGGGAAAAUUAAGCAAAGUGUUCCUUGAAAAACCUGAAUCUGCGAUCUGUCUGUGAGGUAAAGAAGAAAGAAAACAAAACACACUCAAGAUUUAAGAAAGAGGGAACAAGCAGUACCAUUCACUGAUUUGGCAAGUCAAGAAAAGCCGCUGGUUGGUAAAGAAGAUGAAAUCUGUUUUAAACAUGCUAGUUAGAGCUUGAAAUGUCCAGUAAGCAUUUAUUCUUCAUUUUGUCAAAAUCUUUGUGGGUUCCUUAAUUGGGACAACGCAUUAAACCGAACCUUACAUUGUUUCUGCAUGGUGGCUUUUAAUUCUGUUCUAUUAGACUUAAGUGUAACUGAUACUGUAGUUCAACUUGAAUCAAGAAAAACCAAGUUCAGGAAAACCAGAUGAUUCUCAAAUUAAGGAGAGAUUUGUUUUUCAUUAUUGAAAAAAUACAGUUUUGUGAGAACAUAAAUUUUUUUGCACCAAAAUAAAUUCAUACUAACUUGUUAUAACA
rnacentral:lncRNA from 1 species